GGAGGUUUAGGUUGGAUAUCAGGACAAACUUCUUUACAGAAAGGGUUGUUAAGCACUGGAACAGGCUCCCCAAGGAGGUGGUUGAGUGACCCUCCCUGAGUGUGUUUGAAAACUGUUUGGAUGUGGUGCUCAGGGACAUGAGUUAGUGGUGGGUUGUUAGAGCAGUAUGGUUAGGUUGUGGUUGGACUUGAUGAUCUUUGAGGUCUUUUCCAAGCUGUGCAAUUGUAUGAUUCCAUGAUUCUAUCUUUUAUGACCUCUCCCAAUACUACUGCAGUUAAGGGGGUGAUCCACAAACUCAGCAAACUCAUAGAUAAUGCUCAUAGGAACCCUGUUGCAAUAAUAUGGUUGUAGGAGACAAGAGAGACAAAUAGCAUCGUUGAUGCCUCCUUUUCUGGCUUGAUAAUUCACCUGAAAGGAAACUGAGCUGUAUCAUGGGCCAGAUUCACUUUUGGGUUGGACAUUUCCGGCCAAAUCCCUCUCACCUGUUAGUGGGCAGAACGCCGUCUGCUGCUUCUGGGGCUGGGCAAAGGGAGUCAGCCCUGCAGUGUGGAAAACCACCUGACCUGUAUAAUAAGCAGCCUGUCUUGUUAGAGAAAUCUGUGGUCCUUCCAGAACUGCUAAGGAAGUUAAUUAAAAAUUCUAAUCUCUAAUUGGUUUCAUGACUGGAAAACCAAUGUCCUGUGUACCGGAGGGGUAGAGUAAUACAAAUUCGGAUUGCAGUCGCUGCUUUCUCAUUCCCAUCCUGAUGCCCCCUGGAAGUCGUCAGUGCUUUGACCCACCUCAAACACUGAUGAGCUCAUCAGCUCUCCAUGGUGCCCAUCACCAACCCACUGCCUGUAGACAAGGUUCUUCAACCUGGGGAGGAUGCUUACAUGAUGGAACUGCUCGCACUCGCCCUGCAGUGCAGCAGCUUGCCCCUUCCCAUGCUGGUUCUCCCUGGGCAAAGUGCUUGCCACAGCCCCGUAUGAUCCUUAGGUUGUUUGCCAAAACCCAGCAGCUGAAGGAGGAACCACCUGGCUGAUACGUAAGGCACAGCUCUGGUCAUGGGCAGAACAGUAGGGUCUGGAGAGAACCCAGCCCGACCCCAACAGCUCUUCCAGCUGCCGUCCCAUCACCGUUUUCUUUAUCCGAUUGAAGGGCAGUGUGGAUUCAGAACUCCCAGCCAAAACCAGCCUUCAGUAGAGAGAUGAUUAAUCCUCAUUUGACUCUGUAUUUGUUUUACAUUAACAUUCUGGAGGAGUCUGCGUGUUUUUUCUAUUUGUUCUGCCUCACCGUGAGCGGAACCGGCCCAAGGUGGACAUUUCUGAGCUGCUCAGAUGGCCACAUAGUAAAGCAAUUACAAUUAUCAGCACUGAGAUUAAGGGCUUUGGGCUGAGAAAAGAGGGAGUGGGGGAAAGAAAGAAGCAGGAGGAGGGCAGAGGAAGAAAGAAAAAUGCUUCAGUAUAUUCCCUUGCCAGCUAGAGGCAGCUUGCCUUUUGCAGCCUAUUAGCUCCUGCUGCCUGCCUUGUUUUUAGAGCCCUUGGGUCCAAAUGAGAAGUCGUUCAGUGCGUGCAUGGUUGGAGAAACAAUUUGGUGCAGAAGGCAGGCCCCACGAUUUUGGUCAACUUAUAGAAGCCAGCCUGAGCUAAAUGCUUGCUUAAGGUUGCUGAAGGUUCAGCAAAUGUAAAGCCUCCAGCAGCACUGCUUGGGGAAGGCUUAGUGGGUCGGUCUGUUCCUUCUGGCAGUGCUGAAUGGUGCUUUCCUGAGCUGGGUGCUCGGGGCUGUGAGUGCCAAACUCCUGCUGCAGUCUGUGGCUGUGCCUGGGGGUGUGCCCUGGGUUUUCCCACUCAUGCCAGCAAUGAGGAUUGAGUUUGGUGUGGGUUUAUUCGUAAGGACCAGCACCCUUCCUGCAGGUCUGAGCGGUGGUACUGAGCCUCGGCUUUGCUCCUACCCGAUCUCAGUGCCAUUCUCAGUAACACCUGUUCACAAAGAACUCUGCAGCAUUUCCCCACCCCGAUGGGAGCGGGGCACAAAGACCUUCCCAUGGCCAGAGCUGAGCAGGAGGGAUGGCACCAGGAGCUGCCAGCAGCCUCACCACGCUGGAGCCCUGGAGAAAUGGAGGUUUCUGAACAGGGAGGUAUUUCUGAGCUUGUGCAAACUCUUGACUUUACAAAAACUCGUAAAAUUGGCCACGUUUUCUCAAGGACAGCCUCAGGGACACCCCCAAUAAAAUGCCUGCUCCAAAGCGUAAAAGGCAGUGAGGAAUUUUUAAGGGAAAAGUUGCUUGAGUUGUUUAACUUAGCUGGAGAGUGUUAUUUUUGCUGUUCCCAAAAAGGGGCAGGUCCUUGUAGAUAUAAAUUAAAGAAAAAAUGUUCCCGGAGGCCGCUUAUUCACCUGUAAAAUCUCAUCUCAAAUCAUUAAAGUUUGGCAAAGUCGUGUAACCAAGUGGGGGCAAGAAGCAUUCGGCAGCUUUUAAAACUCGGUAGCGUGCUGCAGAUAUUCACAGGCAAUUACAUCAAAAGAACAAGUUUCUGAGCUAUGAAGAGGCCUGAUGAUGGGAAUAGGCCAGAACCAAAGUUAUUGCCUGGCGUGCGUGGGAUUGCCUUUCAUUUCAUGGUCACCCAAUAUUUUUUUGAGACCCCUGGUCGGUGUUGUCAAGUGUUCCAUGGGUAGAUGGGACGAGCCAAGGGAGGGCUGUGCUAUCAGGUGUUUGUGCUGCUCCUGAGAAACACGCCAGAGUUCACUGACAGUAGCAUCUUGGGACUCCUUAUCAACGGUGGAAUAGGCCAGAUAGAUGGCAAAAUUCAAAACAUAUUUGGUUUGGACCUCUGAGAUCUGCAGCUCUGCUAUGGAAUGCCGAAGCAAAGCUGUCCCAGAAUUGACCUGAAGCAGCUCCUUGUGCGUUCUGCUGUAGUUCUGCAAGUUCAGACCAGAGAAGUUUUCAUUUGCUGCGUGGCCUGGGUUUGGUUUUGGUUGUAGUUUUUUUUUUUUUUUCCCUCCAAAAAGCAAACUGUGAAAUCAAUAUCAAACCUCAGGAGUUCUGAAGUACUUCAUUGUUUCCUACUCUUCUUGCUUUUCCUCUUUUGCAGUCACGAGGAUCUGUUUUGCCCCGCUGUCUGUUUCGCUGGUCCAAAAAAAGCAGUUCUGCAUUAUCCUGACAGCAAAAACAUUAUCAGAAAGUGUGCUGAAAUCAGAUUUUCUUCAGUGGAUGACUGAGAGGCAAAUUUAAAAUGAUAUUACAAAUAAUACCUCAUAAUUACAAUGUGAAUGAUGAGCGCCCUUAAUCAUGCCUCGCAGCUAUGUUUGUUAAUAAGAAAACAAUGUAGGGCAGUGUUGUGACAUUUUUCUCAUUAUUUUUACUGUCGCCCUCAGUUUUCAGGCCACAUUUUCAGCUGGAGCAAAUAGCCUUCAUCGCCUCCAAUACAAAGAGGCUGCUUUACACCGGCCAAGUCUCUGACCUGCUUUUGCUUUAGGAAAGCCUCCUUACCCCCAGAAGUAGGGAAGGAGAGCAGACCUGUGGAACUCUGGUUCAUUUCAAUUAAAACUCGGUGCAUUAAUCAUAUAUUUGACACGCUAAACGUUUCUAAUUAACAUCCAGCUUUAAGCCACAUGUGCUUCAGCCUGCGUUCAAACGACGGAGCUGCACAGGUAACGUCAGGAAAACCAUGAGCAGAUGGCAGAGCACAGCUGAGCUGAAAUGUGGGUGAGCUGUUUGUCCAUGCAAAGCAAAGCUGAAGCCUGAGCAGCAGUAGUGGUGUGGGGCAGGGCCGUGUCCAGCACAGUGGGGACGUGAGCGUGUCCCGCCAGGUGGGUGCCACCACCGGGGUCCUGGGUGGAGGAAGGAUGCUCGUGGCCGGCGUGGCUUGUAACUGCUGCCAGCACUGCUUGUUCUGGGUAGCCAGGAAUGGGAGCAGUGACAUCAGCAAGGGCGGAUUUGUGAUUAUUUUAUUGGGAACCGCUGAAUGUUCCCCCCUCCCAGCUCACCAUAACACUCUUUGCCUCGGUCAGGUGUGUGGCUUCAUCAGGCAUCCGGUGGCGAGGUCUGCUGGGCUUCCUUUUAAUGCUUUUAGUGCCGUUCCUGGAACUGCAGCGUCUGGGGAAAAACAUUCGAAAUUGCACAUCAUUAGGAUGCUGAAGAGGAGGAGGAGAUCUGUAACUAAUGGGAGUUUCCAUUCCUGAGGAGAUUCUACAGCUCUUCCAGCAUUCCCUUGCACUCGUCCCAGGUGUCAGAGAGAUGCUGCUGCAGCAGGAGCUGGCGGUGCACAGAAGAUGGUGCAGGAAGAUGUUGGCUCUUUGCAAGGGCCCAGCUGCAUCACCACCAGGUUGCAUUGCCUCCACAGAAACUGCACUGUGCGUGCCGGACGGCUUGGGUGGUUCGGGGAGCAGGCUCCAUAAUUGCAGCGACUGCUGAGAUAACAAAGUCUGCUUUGAGACCACCACUACAGCCCCUGGGAAGCACUGAGCCCCCUCUGCAUCAGGAUGUGCUUUCUGCAGGACUACUGAGUGAGUCAAGAGCUAGAUUUGCCUUGCUCUGAACUGAACAAAUACAGCAAGGCACAGCCUGCUCCAAGCUUCUUUAGUACUGCCUUCACCAGGAAGCAGCAGCUGGGUCCAGCAAGGAUCUUGGAUUAUGGUCUCUAUGGAAAACGGGAGGAACCUCAAACCCUGCUUCAAGAUGGUUACCUGGCUGUUUACCAUCCUGCCAGAAAACAUGACAGCAGUCACCCAAAAGCCUCAGGAUACUGUCUGCUGUUUGUAAAAGUCAAUGCAUGCCUCCUGAGGCAAACAGCAGCUCUUGAAAUUAGAUGCUUGGUUUUACCCAAGUCCAUGAGCAGAGACAGCAAAAUUCACUGGUUUCAGUCUCUGGUGUGAUGGAAGACAGAUUCUAUCAGAAACAUCUCCAUGUCAUCCAGUUGGCCAAGACACCUACAGGACCUGGGUCUCAGCACAGGUCUUCAGAGCCAGAUGCUCCCGUAGCACAGAUGUCCUAGCUCACCUGCCACUGACUGCCCUCCUGUGCCUCCUUCCCAUCGGUUCCUAAAGCGAGGUUUCUUCCCAGGGCUGGUCCAGCUGUUCUGGAGCAUAUCAAGCUUUGCGGUGUAUCCCCUGAUGCAGAGGCCAGACCUGGAACAAGAGAAUGGAGUUUGCAAUGUAAUAUAACCUCACUCUACUACAAAUCCUGAGGCUUCACGACUCGUCCAUCUGCCAGGCGGAGCGUUUCCUGACCUUUUUAAGGAAGCUGGAGACAGCGAAACAGCCGGACCAGAGGGUGCCCUGUCUGCCUGGAACAAAAACAGCAUUGCUGUGAGUUCUGGAGGGGAGAAAACUUGCAGCUUGGAGCCAGCAGUGCGGGCUGAGAGCUUGCAUGACCUCCCCUUCCCUUCAGAGAGGGAAGAUUGGACUGGCUGCUAUUGUAUUUGAGCGUGUAACUGAUGAUUUUCUCCUUCAAAAAUCUCAUCAGCUGAUAAAUGCAAAUCCUGAAGAAGCUGAUGCUUGCAGGGGGAGCUGGAUGUCCAGGGCUGCUUUCUCUGAUAGGGUUGGACAUGAGCAGUGUGUACCCCACAUUUUGCACAAAGGAUGUUGGAGAUGUGACGGCAGAAGACACUGCUUCCAUCAGUAUUUUCUGUGGUGAGUUUGAGAAUGGAAACCCAAAACACUGCAGCCUUGCUGGUGCUGUCCCAGGUCAGGUGUCUUAGGUCAGAGAUGUCCCACGGGAGCACAGCUGUCUCCUGUUAGUGAAAGGUGCUCUGGUUUCAGCUGGAAUAGAGUGGGUUGUCACCUAGUAGCUGGGAUGGAAUCGUGUUUUGGAUUUAGGAUGAUCUUUCUGGGUCCCUUCCAACUUGGGAUAGUCUAUGAUUCUAUGAUUCACAAUGUUGACAACAAACCAGUGGUUUUGUUGGUGCAGAGCGGUGCUGCACAGAGCCAAGGACACUUCAGCUUCUCCUGUUGCCCUGCUAGUGAGGGGCUGGGGGGGCACAGAGCCAGGAGGGGACAGCACCGGGACAGCAGACCAAAAGGAUAUCCCAUACCUAAUGACAUCAUGCUGAGAUUGGUGAGCAUUGUGUUGUGAACCACUUGUUCUGUAUAUUCUUUUAUCGUUCUCAUCUUGCCUUCUUUUUCUGUCCUAUUAAACUAUCUUUGUUUCAACCCAUGAGUUUUAACAUUUUUCCAGUUCUCUCCCCAAUCCCACCACUGUAGGAAGAGUGAGCAAACUGCUCUAUGGUGCUGAGCUUCCCACCAGGUUCAAGCCACAGAGGUGUGGUAGGGGACACACGGACACACACAUGACACAGGAGAGGGCUGACAGGGCCUUUGCUUCCACGAUCUCCUUUCCAUUGCAUCCAGCUCUCUGUGUGGUUACAGCAGGAAGCACAUAGUAAAUUUCGGGUUGCACAGAGAGGUGGUGGUGCCCCAUCCCUGCAGACAGCUAAGGUCAGGGGAUGGGCUCUGAACACUGAGGGAGCUGUGGAUGUCCCUGCUCAGUGCAGGGGUGGGACCAGGUGGCCUUUAAGGUUCCUUUCCAACUCCAACCAUUCUGUGAUCCUAUGAUUCAAACUUUUUGGGUGAAGCAGAAGGGAUGGCUAACGCGCUCCAGUCCUCGCCUGGCUGGUGCCAUGGAGAAACACAUGAUUAAUUUGUUUAAAACUUCACCAAGGAGAUGUGUGUUCUUCCUAUGCUGGAAACCAGAGCCAGAGCCUUGGUCUGUAAUUCUUUUAAAGAGAGAUGACGUAGUUGGUCUUGAUUAAAGCAUUCGUUUAACGUUGAUUAAACCAUGGUUAAAUUAUUCAUGUGUCUGGCUAUUCAUAGGGUACAUAAGGAAUUUAUUGGGAUGAGAUGGGUUGCUGUGCUCGGUAUAAAAACUUGCUGCUGCGCUCACUAGCAACUAGCAUGGCAAAAAUAAACAAAGAUGGCAGGAGAGGGAUUUUCUGCAUUAACACUGUAAUAUAAAUGGAGCUGUCUUUAAAGCUGCAAUAGCAUUAGGAUCUUGGUGAUUUUUUUUCCUUCAAUAUUUAAAAGCUUGAGGUGUAUAAAACGUAUAUGAGGGCCUGUUUGUACCAGUCACCAGAGGGGUUUUUCGUUGCUGUCAUCUCCAAAAAUAAAUGACAAGAUGUUGGGAAUGACUGCAGCUGGCACUGCCCCACUUCGGUCCCAGGCUCCUGGGUGCGAACCCCACAGAGGAGCAUGGAUGGGAGGAAUGCAAACCUCGGCUCCCAUCCAAAAGCACUGCUGAGAUGGAAUCCUCCCCAGGGUCAGCUUUUUGGCCAAUCUUCUUGCUAUUCCCAAGAGCGUUUCCUCUCCUCUGCGAGGGCAUGCAAAUUUCCUUGCUUGCAUCCCAGUGCGAUAAAACUCCGGACCCCAGAUCUCGGGUGCAGGCACACAGAGGGAUGGUCCCUGGGGCCUCUGUGGGGUGACACAGCCCCACGUGUCCCCGGGUGGGAGGAUCUCAGCUCAGCGCAGCGUGAUGGGAAAGGUGCCUGAGGGGGCAUUUGGUCCUCAUUAGCAGAAGCUCGGUAGCCGUUUUGUCAUUUUUCUUGUUUGUCAUAAAAAAUAAAUACAGUUUAAUAGAUGAUCUUACAGAGCAGGUUUUGGCAACAAAAUAGUCCGUGUCCCAUUAUAAACUUGAUGUGUGUAAUUUAAAGCGAGAUGGAAUAUAAAACCAUUUCCAGCCCAGAUGAGGGAGAGGGAGACACAGAUUUAGGCCCUGAUUGUGCUGAAAUGAAAAACAGCACAUUGUCAGAUAGUGCAUUAAAUCAUGCAUUCCAUUUCGUGAAGUCCAAGCUAUAAACAGCCCUUUUCAGAAUAAUUAAUCACAGUUUAUUUUUUGGAGAGGGGAUCUCGUUUGUUUCUUUGCGUAUUUUUAGGGCUGCCCCGCAUAGAAGAGCCGCCUCUGCUACACAGAGCCAUGUCAUGGGUUGGUGAGGGCUUGGGGGUGAUGGAGACAUCCCGAAUCAGGGCUGCCCCUUCUCAGACCCACUCACUGUGAGCAGAAGUCCUGAUGCCCAGGGGCAGGAAAUCAGAGCAGCUCUGCUCAAGCUCGAAUGGGGUUGCUACUUUGUGCCAAGGAGAGAUGGGGACCCAGUGCGCUUCCUAGACCCCCGUGGUGCAGAGUGGGGCUGUCUCGCCUCGCUCUGCUCUGCCUGUUCCACCCUGGUUUCAGCAGAGCCAAUGUAAAUCCAAAACAGCUCUGGAGAAGUCACUCGAGACUCAAAUAGGCUGGAGGAGAUAGGAAACUGUUCACAGCUUGUGUGUAGCUGUUGACAUCGU